rnacentral:rRNA from 1 species
GACGAACGCUGGCGGCGUGCUUAACACAUGCAAGUCGAACGAUGAAGCCCUUCGGGGUGGAUUAGUGGCGAACGGGUGAGUAACACGUGGGCAAUCUGCCCUGCACUCUGGGACAAGCCCUGGAAACGGGGUCUAAUACCGGAUAUGACACAUGAAGGCAUCUUCGUGUGUGGAAAGCUCCGGCGGUGCAGGAUGAGCCCGCGGCCUAUCAGCUUGUUGGUGGGGUAGUGGCCUACCAAGGCGACGACGGGUAGCCGGCCUGAGAGGGCGACCGGCCACACUGGGACUGAGACACGGCCCAGACUCCUACGGGAGGCAGCAGUGGGGAAUAUUGCACAAUGGGCGAAAGCCUGAUGCAGCGACGCCGCGUGAGGGAUGACGGCCUUCGGGUUGUAAACCUCUUUCAGCAGGGAAGAAGCGCAAGUGACGGUACCUGCAGAAGAAGCACCGACUAACUACGUGCCAGCCGCCGCCGUAAUAC